GACUUGAUCCUUAUGGGUCUCUUCCAACCUAGGAUAUUCUAUGAUUCUAUUAUUCAGUGAACAUGUUACAUAAAGUUACAGUUCAUCAAGCAGAUGCACCAAUGUCCAUGUGCACACCUGCUGCUUUUAUUCCACGAACUGUUUAAUAGGAUGACUAAAGGAAAAGCUCUGAAUGUAAGUUUGCAAGAGUUAUUAUUUUAUUCCUCCGUGCUCCAGACUGGAUACACAGUUUUGCCAAGUUUGAGAUAUAGUCUUAAUCCAUGUGAAAGCAUAUUUGAACUUGAGUUUGGCAAAGCAUUUGUUUGUAAUCUAGAAUCAGAUACUACUGGUAUAAUUACAUUUGCUGAGUCUGAAGAGAGAGCUCCAGGGGAGAUCUGAGAGCGGCCUUUCAGUAUCUAAAGGGAGGCUGUAAGAAAGAAGGGGACAGAUUCUUCAGCAGGAUCUGUGGUGAUAGGACAAGGGGAAAUGAUUUCAAACUAAAAGAAGGGAGAUUUAGACUGCAUAUAAUGUUUAUCUGAUAAGUUUUUUGGAUAUAAGUUUUUAUGAUAAGGGUAGCGAAGCACUGGCACAGGUUGCCAAGAGAGGUGGUGGAUGCCUCAUCCUUGGAGACACUCAAGGUCAGGCUGGACGGGGCUCUGAGCAGCCUGAUGUAGCUGUAGGUGUAGAUGGCAGGGGGGUUGCACUAGAUGAUCUUUAAUUGUCCCUUCCAGCUCUAAUGAAACUGUGAUUCUAUGAUAAGAGCUAGAUUUUGAAUACUGGAGUAAUGACAUGGAUAUUUACUUACUUGCUUAUCAGUCUAUCAAUCAGGCCCUUGUUUCAUGUAAUAAAUAUUUAGCCAAUGACAACUGUCAUCUGCAAGAUUAGAAUGGUGCUUAAUAAUCCUUGUACUUGAGAAAAUUUUAACUUUUGGUAACUACUUUUCCAGGUAUAAACUUUCAUGGCAUAGAGGACAAAAUCUAUUUCCUAAGAACAGUGAUACAGCCUGAAAUGUGUCACAUUGGUUGAAACACCUACUUUUUUUAGAUACUUACAUUUAACCUCUUCUUUUGAAGAAAAAAAGUUACCUUGUUCUUUCCCAUGACUUUGCAUGUCAUACUUCUAAGGGAGUGAACCCAUUCUGAACUCAAUAGAGUUUGGUCUCUUCCUUCUGUAGCAUUAAUCUUGGAGACAUUAUGACCAAUUUAAGCCGAAUGGGGGUUUCUCUUUCUAACUACCUACUUGCAAACUGCUAAGGAACCAGCAAGGGAAAAUGAGCACUACUCACAAUAGUCUCCAGCUUGGAUUGCAUGUAUCUUGAAAACACGAGCAGCAGAUGCUUGUGGAAGUGAUUAUGCACUCAGUCAUAUGUACAUCCUCCUGGCUGUCAUCACCACUUCUACACAUUUGUAGUAUAAGAAGAAAACCCUGGGAGUUUAUGGGGGGGAGGGCGGAAAAAGAAGCACAAAGUAUAUUUCAGAAGGACAAAAUAAUCCUAGAGUUUUUAAGGAGUUCAGCAAUCACUGCUGCUCAGGGGCCCAAGCCGGCAAGAUAUUCAUUUAUCAAACUUGAAAGAACCCCACAAGAUUAUGGAUAGUAACCUUCCUAGGGAUUUCAACAUUUCACCAUGUUGUCAUUUAUAAACAUAUAACACUUUUAUUGAGAAAAACACUCCUUUCUUUCUUUUUUUUCUUUUUUCUGAUUCAGGCUGUAGUAACUGGGGCAAUUUUCUGCUUUUAUAUAAGUAGUACUUCUGAAAGCUUGCACAAAAUUAUUUUACUCUGUCAAGCCUAUAGUCUGCAGACAUCAUUAUAUUGUGCCAACAAUCUUAUUUUGGAUCCUUACAUGCACACAGCAAAUUACUUUGGAGGUGUCAGUGCAGCACCCUCUGUGCUGUCGUUCUUUUUCAUUUUGAAGAAAUACAGAAGGAAUAUUUAGGAUUUUUUUUUCCCAAGUAAUUUCUUGACAUUCCCUGAUUUUUCAGAACAGUCUCCUGUUAGCUUUGGUUCUGAAUUUAGUUGUCCUGGAUUUUUGUUCUUCCAAGCAACUCAAGCUUUCACUCUCUACAUGUUGCAGCCUUUUUUUUCUGCUGCUAAAAGACAAAACAAAGUGUCGGCCUUUCUCCUGAUUUCACUGAGGAUCAGGAAAGGUGGCAGUGCCAGAGGCUCCUGACUCUGCUCAUUGCUCUGGCCCACUGCAGCUCAUUCCCAACUGGUGGAUUUCAUCUUUCAUCUGUUCUGGGCUGCUGAGAGCAUGCUUCCACUGAUAGCGGUUAUGGUUUUUCUUACAGUUGCUUGUCCAGAUGUGGAAACUGAUACUAGAAGCACCAGGUUCUGAUGUCACAGUCUGAUACUCAUUACAAGCUGAAAUUCAUCACCUUCCAACCCGGUGACAUACCACAAUAUGAUCUGCUGAAAGGGAAAAUCUUAAGGAGAUGAGGCAUGGCUUAAAAACCUUUCUGGCCGUAUGCAUCUCCUGCCUCAGCCAAGUGGGGGUGACAGAAGGAGAUACCAUCACAUAACAGGCUUGCAGGAACUCCAUCAGCGUCACUGCAAAUUGCAAGUCUGGUUCAAACACUACCCAGUGGCUCCAAUCCAUACACACAAUUCCCACUGAAAUUGGCAGAAUUCCUGCCUGCAGAAUGAAUGCAAGAUAUUUUCAGCAACGUGGUGCUGUGCUAUAUCACCACUUAGAAAAAACUUACAGCUAUUCACUUCGGAGUUACAGUCAUAUAAUGAAAAAAUCAAACAGUGACAGUACCAAGGAGUGUCAUGUCACCAUCCUGGAGUCAUUUCCGUAUUGAAUAAGCUGAAGACUAAAGCAGAAAGAUGUGUACGUUUGUAUGCAGGGAGUUUCCCUUGUGUCAGACCAGAAGAUUCAGCCUUAGUGUUCCUUUCAGCGUCGCUACCAGAUAUAAUUACCAUGACUCAAGUUACAGCUUCAUUAAAAGCUUCAGAGAUCUCCUUGCCUUCAGGAGGCGUCCAUCAUCACAUCCAAAGGAUAUGACCCUGUCACUGUCAAUACGUUUGAGCAGAUGAAACAAAUCAGAACUGAAUAAAUAGUCCUGAAAACAAGCAGCAGGAUCUAGUGCUCUGAAGUGGCUGCAUGUAUUAGAGGAAAAGCAGCGAAGAAGCUCCCACAUUGCAAAAACUUGGCCGGAAACUGCGUGAGGAGGGAACUGUCAGUUCUUAUGCUGCCACUUUCAGAUUAGAAUUAAACCUCAAAUAUCCACAACUCAACCCCAAAGCCCCAGCUUACCGUAA